CCGGUGACCGUGGUAGAACUGUAUGCCCUCCAUACCUGUGCAUAUCUAAUUCCUGGUCACACAGGUACUUUGAUAUCACACCCUGAUCUUAGAGAGCCUUUUCAUGUCUCUAUUUUGGUUUGGUCAGGGUGUGACUUGGGUGGGCAUUCUAUGUUCUGUUUUCUAUGUUUUUAUAUUUCUAUGUUUUGGCUGGGUAUGGUUCUCAAUCAGGGACAGCUGUCUAUCGUUGUCUCUGAUUGGGAAUCAUACUUAGGCAGCUUUCUAAACAAUAUCAACUCCCAUUCCUAACCUUAAGUUUUCGUUCUGCCACUUCCUUUUGACAUAGUUUAAAAACCCAUGUAUGGAAAGCUUGCUUCAACAAGGGGAAUACAUGUGUAGAGUUGGAUACCCUUUAACCCUGAUGGCACCCCGAACAUCAUCACCCAGGUCAACAAAAGCCAGGCUAACAUCCCUCAGGCCAAUGACAGUCAGGCCUCCGUCACCCAGGCCUCCGUCACCCAGGCCUCCGUCACCCAGGCCAACGUCACCCAGGCCAACGUCACCCAGGCAAACUACAGGCAGACCGACGUGUCCCAGGCCAACGACAACCAGGCCAAAGUCUCCCAGGUGAACAACAGCCCAGACAACAUCACACUCAGAUACCCCCCCCUGACUCCGGACAGCCCGGAUGACACUGUCACCCUGAACUCAGUUGACUCCCUAUCCCUCCCGACAAAGGGAGGAAGAAGACAUGAAUGUUUAGUGCCUUGGAGCAUUUUCACAUAUCCACAUCUGAUUCUGAUCUUUGUGUUUAGUACCUUUAUUGGCACUAAAAUAUGUAAAUUAGAAACGAAACAAAGUCUUGCUCUAACAAAUCUUGGUAGCUGCCUGAGGUGGGUGUAGGAACAGUGAAAAUAUAUUAAGAUGCCGUUUUUAGAUCAGAAGUAGUUGAGUACAUAAGGCUCCGUAACUGCAACAGAGUGAUACUUCUGAAGAUGUAAGAUAAGUUGGGCAGUAUGUGAAGUUUCACUCAAGAACAGUAUUUCCCUCCCUUGUCUGUCUCUGAUAGCUGUCUCCCCUUCUCUUGGCUCUUUGAACUCUGUGGCUCAUUCAAUGCCUCAGCUAGCCUCACAGUUGCAUUCCCAAGCAGGAAAUCUGUAGAUGAUUAGUGUUUGUAGUUAAGGUCAUCUUGUCUUUUUGUAGUUGAAAGGGAACUUAGUCAUUCUGCUUUUGAUAUUGCAGUGUGCACAAUGGAGUAUGGCCAGUGAAGUCCGUGAUCAGGGAAAGGUUGGCCCAGGCAAGGCACAGAAAGAGAAAAUAAAUGUGAUCGUAUAACCUACUGUACGUAUUAUUGAAGAUCAUUGGCUGUUUUAUAAGAAAAAUCACAAUGUCCCAUGAUUAGGACCUUGUGUUUUGUGCAAUCAUUUCACAUAGCCUGAGGAUGGUUUAAAUAAAGGUACAAGUACAGGCAUUUCACAUGAUUUCACAAAACACAGGUUCGUACCCAUGAUUUCCCAAUAGCAGUGGUACAUAAAGGUGACGGACCCCAUACACUUACCACAAAUUCCUCGUUUUGCCAAGUUCUCCAUAUGGUACAUUGCUCUCCGUUACUGUUUUUUGUAUGGUCAUUAGCAGGGUAUACAUGAGGCCAAUUUUAGCUUCAAGACACAGGCAAAAAAUGAAAUAAUAUAUUGUGCUGAUUCAUUGGUAUAUUGAACCAUAUCGCUCGCUGUUAUUGAAGAUCAUUGGCUGUUUUAUAAGAAAAAUCACAAUGUCCCAUGAUUAGGACCUUGUGUUUUGUGCAAUCAUUUCACAUAGCCUGAGGAUGGUUUAAAUAAAGGUACAAGUACAGGCAUUUCACAUGAUUUCACAAAACACAGGUUCGUACCCAUGAUUUCCCAAUAGCAGUGGUACAUAAAGGUGACGGACCCCAUACACUUACCACAAAUUCCUCGUUUUGCCAAGUUCUCCAUAUGGUACAUUGCUCUCCGUUACUGUUUUUUGUAUGGUCAUUAGCAGGGUAUACAUGAGGCCAAUUUUAGCUUCAAGACACAGGCAAAAAAUGAAAUAAUAUAUUGUGCUGAUUCAUUGGUAUAUUGAACCAUAUCGCUCGCUGUAGUUUAAAAACUCAGUGUGGAUAGUGUUAACAAUAACAUUUUGGGAUUCUGCCAUCUAUGCACCUUCCUCAUUGUAUCUCAGCUUAUACAUUUGAUUAAAUAAAGUUUUUUUCUUUGCAGUGGAAUGACGUUUGGCCAAUUUGCUGUAUUGGUGGCGACUACAGUAGUAAUGGUGGUAGUAAUGGCAGAUAGUCCACUUAAAUAUUUUGUCUUGCCCAUUCACCCUCGGAAUGGCACACAUACACAAUUCAUGUCUCAAGGCUUAAAAAUCCUCCCCUUUAACAAGUGACAUCAAUAAGGGAUCAUAGCUUUAACCUGGUCAGUCUGUCAUGGAAAGAGCAGGUGUUCUUGAUGUUUUGUACACUCAGUGUGUACACAAUGACUCUACAAGAAUAUAAAUGAAAAAUGUCAUGAGGAGAGUACAAUUACAUAUGUCUGCCUCACUCUCAGAAAAAAGUAGCACUGCGAGGUUUUGCACAGUCAAAUGUGACAAACAAAGAACUGUACAAAUAAUAUAUUUGUGACAUGAAUAUUUAAAAAUAAAUAUAUUUAAACAUUUAUCAAUAGAAUAGUACAUAUGACAGUACAAUAAUAUGAGAUAUAGGGUCUGGUCAAAAGUAGUGCACUUGGGAAUAGGGUGCCAUUUGGGAUGAGUCCUAACUCUAACCAAACACUAUCGCAUGAAGCCAGAUUUAUGAUUUAAUAUACGGGACACAAACAUAUUCCAACUAAACAAUGGAUAUAAGGUGUUUCGCAACUAAACCAGUAUAAAACCUAGGAAUUAGUUAUAUUUUACAAACACAUAAAGGUACCCACAAGCAUAUUUCUGAUGGAAAUAAACUCUUCAAUUGUUGACCACCGUAUUCCCUCCUUAGGUUUUAUUACGCCAUUGUUUAUAAACACCAAAGAAAGGACAAUCAUAUGUUUAACAUUGUGUGGAAGUCAUGGACUUUCAGUCCUUACAUCUAAAGUGCUGUUUAAGAAUUUAAGAGGGCUUACAUUUUCCCAGGACCAUCCUUCCUCUGUAGCCAAAAAUAAGUGUCUGGGGCUGAGAGGUACAGAGAAUGUAAUUAAAUGAGUCCCCCUUAAAUGAAAGGGUGAUACUGUGGGGGACAGAUUCACAGCUGCAUGGAGUGGGCUUUUGGUGAAGGUAGAUGGUAUGACAGCUGUCUUCUGAAGCAACUCUUCCUGCUCUCAGGAAGGGAACCUGAACUGCACUUGUCUAUUACAUAGUAAGAAAAACAACAAACAAAAAACAAAAAGCCUAAUAAAAUGUAUUGAAGCCAUAGUAAGCCAUCUGUAAUGAAUGUAUGUACAUGUAAAAGACAGUUAUUUGAAAUGUCAACUACGCACAAAAACAAAUAACAAUGUAAAAACUAUGGUAACUCAUAAAAGCUCAAGGCAACAAAACAACAUCAGUAUAAUUAAAAGGUACUGUAGUACCUAGGUUGCUCCCUCUUCUGCCUCCUCUUCAUCAUCACCACUGCUAAUGUAGUCAUAUCCCUUCUGUUCCUCCUCAUCCCCAUCUAAAAUAAGAGAGGAGUUCAGACCCAAAGCAGUCUUGGACAUUUGCCUGAGUAACUUAAGCCUGCCCCAAAUUUCUGCGAGUCUCAGUAGACCUGUGUGUCCUUCUGCAGAAUGCCCUGUAGUAUAGGUACGAAAGAAAGACAUCAAAUUAUUAACAUACAGAUACAAAAUCACAAGACUGAUCAAAUAAAUACAUUAACUUGGUGGGAAUUGACAGAACAAUAUCGGAAUUUGUGUGAAAUCAAACUAGCUGAAAAAUGGUGGGUAUGAGAGGAACCUGCCAUCACUUGAAAUCUGGGUCCUAAGGACCAACGCAAAGCUGUUCAGAGAGGAACAGUGCUGGGCCAUCUCCCUAACCAGAAUUGUUUUCUCCCCCAAAAGGAGCAUGCUCCGCACGUGCUGAUCGUGGACCUUUUUCUUGGUCAGGGUUGUAAACAGAUGAUCCUGGAACAAUUACAACCACAUUAAAUAUGUAUGUCCCAAAGAAAACUCCAGCAUCCGCUAAUUACAUUUUAAACACGUACAACUGCUAUGGAUUUCCCAAGGCCAGAUCUGCACUUAGGAACCACUCUCAGGAUCAACCAGAUUCCCCUCAACAAUUUUAGGGAGUGCGCACAAGUGUCUAUUCUGUGUUGAGAGGUUAACAAAGAAAUAUGUACACCUAUAUCAAAUCAAAAUCAAAUCAU
ensembl:lncRNA